UACGGAGGGUGCAAGCGUUGUUCGGAAUCACUGGGCGUAAAGCGCGUGUAGGCGGUUGGGUAAGUCAGAUGUGAAAGCCCCGGGCUCAACUCGGGAACUGCAUCUGAAACUGCCUUGCUAGAGUCCCGGAGAGGAAGGCGGAACUCCCAGUGUAGGGGUGAAAUCCGUAGAUACUGGGAAGAACACCGGCGGCGAAGGCGGCCUUCUGGACGGUGACUGACGCUGAGACGCGAAAGCGUGGGGAGCAAACAGG
rnacentral:rRNA from 1 species